AGCACUGUAGGUGUCAGCAGCCGCGGUAAUACGUAGGGUGCAAGCGUUAAUCGGAAUUACUGGGCGUAAAGCGUGCGCAGGCGGUUUUGUAAGUCUGUCGUGAAAUCCCCGGGCUCAACCUGGGAAUGGCGAUGGAGACUGCAAGGCUAGAAUCUGGCAGAGGGGGUAGAAUUCCACGUGUAGCAGUGAAAUGCGUAGAGAUGUGGAGGAACACCGAUGGCGAAGGCAGCCCCCUGGGUCAAGAUUGACGCUCAUGGCACGAAAGCGUGGGAGCAAACAGGAUUAGAUACCCUGGUAGUCCACGCCCUAAACGAUGUCUACUAGUUGUCGGGUCUUAAUUGACUUGGUAAC
rnacentral:rRNA from 1 species